rnacentral:sRNA from 1 species
GCCAGGCAUGGUGGUGCACACCUGUGAUCCCAGUCACUCAGGAGGCUGAGGCAGGAGGAUCACAAGUUCAAGGCCAGCCAAGGUGACUUGGUGAGAGCCUGUCUCAA